CCUACGGGUGGCAGCAGUGAGGAAUAUUGGUCAAUGGGCGUAAGCCUGAACCAGCCAAGUCGCGUGAGGGAUGAAGGUUCUAUGGAUCGUAAACUUCUUUUAUGAGGGGAUAAAGUGUGGGACGUGUCCUAUUUUGUAUGUACCUUAUGAAUAAGGAUCGGCUAACUCCGUGCCAGCAGCCGCGGUAAUACGGAGGAUCCGAGCGUUAUCCGGAUUUAUUGGGUUUAAAGGGUGCGUAGGUGGCCUUUUAAGUCAGCGGUGAAAGGCUGUGGCUCAACCAUGGAAUUGCCGUGGAAACUGGCGGGCUUGAGUGUGUUUGAGGCAGGCGGAAUGCGUGGUGUAGCGGUGAAAUGCUUAGAUAUCACGCAGAACCCCGAUUGCGAAGGCAGCCUGCCAAGCCGUGACUGACGCUGAUGCACGGAGGCGUGGGUAUCGAACAGGAUUAGAUACCCUAGUAGUC
rnacentral:rRNA from 1 species